rnacentral:lncRNA from 1 species
GCAAACUCAACAGCAUGCAGGCCAUCAAGACCAAGUCAUGCAGGAGCUGCUGGAACGAGCUGAACUAUUCCUAUUUUGUUCAACUUGUAAUCUUAAGUUAAUGUAAUGUACUUUAGUUCAUUUAGAACUAUGUUAGGUUUAUGAUUGAUGUAUUUUGAUGACAAUUAAGCUGUUAAGUCAGCUUUGUUUAAGUGUGCAAGCUUAGUUUUUCAAGUUUCAAUGUAUUAGUGGUAGUAGGUGAUGAUUAGGUAUCAUUAUGCAGAUUUUGACAAGCAAAUUGCUUGGUUUUAUGUAUUGGCAUUAUGCCAUUGUUCAACUAAUGAAUAGAAUCAGUUUUUGUUCAUCAUUUUUCCUCUCCAUUCUCUUAGCUUUUUCUUUCUUUCUUCUGGCUUGAAUUUCUCUUGUUUGCUCAGCAAGUCUCGAGACUUGGUUGACAAGAUAUUGCUGAGGCUGCUUGAUUCUGUUAUUGCACCAACAAUUGGUAUCUAGAGCCUGUUUCUUAAGGGAUCUGUUACUCAAUUCCAUGGCUUCAUCAAGCUUUUCACCAGCUGCACCUCAAGUCUUCAAUGGAGAAGGCUAUCACAUAUGGGUGGUCAAAAUGAAGACCUACCUGCAGGCUUUCGAUCUGUGGGAGGUGGUCAACUUUGAUGUUGAACCAGAGCCACUUAGAGCUAAUCCAACAGUGGCUCAGAUCAGGCAGCAUGCUGAUGAAAGGACCAAGAGGCACAAAGCUAUGUCUUGCAUCCAAAACUCAGUGUCUGAUGUGAUUUUCACAAGGAUUAUGGCCUGUGAAUCACCAAAACAGGCCUGGGAUAAGUUGCAGGAAGAGUUUCAAGGGACAGAGAGGACAAGGCAGCAACAGUUGUUAAACUUGAGGAGAGAUUUCGAGAAUUUGAAGAUGAAGGAAGAAGAAACUGUCAAGCAAUAUUCUGACAGGAUUAUGGCUGUGGUUAACAGCAUCAGGCUCCUUGGAGAGCAGUUCAAUGAAGCUAGGAUAGUGGAGAAGGUUAUAGCAACUCUGCCUGAGAGGUAUGAGGCAAAAAUCUCAUCUCUCGAGGACUCAAGGGAUCUGUCCACCAUCUCCCUGACAGAGUUGAUCAAUGCUCUAUAUGCUCAAGAGCAGAGGAGAGCAAGCAGACUGGAGGAGCACCAAGAAGGUGCCUUUCAGGCAAGAGCAAAUACUGCCUACAAAGGCAAGAAGGCCUGGAGAGACAAGCCAAAGAAUGAUGCUGCAAGGAGAGAAGGUCAGACUUGCAAGCACUGUAGAAAGGCUGGUCAUUCAGAAGAAAAAUGCUGGUUCAAUCCAGAUGCUGUAUGUCAGCAUUGUAAGAAGAAGGGUCAUGUUGAGAGAGUCUGCAAGAGUAAGACCAAAUCGAGGCAGAAUCAGUUUCAACAGAUGAAAGCUGAGGCUCGAGUAGCAAAGGAGGACAGUGACCAAGAGGAGCAAGUCUUUGCUGUGUCAUGCUCAGCUGCUCAGGAAAGGUCCUCAUCUGGUUGGCUCCUAGACAGUGGAUGCACCAACCACAUGACACCUGAUGCCGCAAUCUUCAAGUCUUUAGACAGAAGCUGCAGAACUAAAGUCAAGAUAGGAAAUGGUCAUUUUAUCCAAGCUGAAGGCAAGGGUGAUGUGCUGAUAUGCACACUUACAGGUACCAAAGUGAUUUCAAAUGUGCUGUUGGUGCCUGAAAUUGACAGAAACCUGCUCAGCAUAGCUCAGUUGCUGGAAAAAGGUUAUUCAGUUGUGUUUAAAGACCACCAGUGCCAAAUCAGUGAUCCAAGUGGAUCCAAACUGAUGGCAGUCCCUAUGGCUGAUAAGAGCUUUGUGGUUGACUGGACAAAAAAGUCAGACAUUGCCUACACAGCCACUUCAGAUGAAUCCAAGCUGUGGCAUCAAAGAUUGGGACAUGCCAACUUCAGAUCGAUGGCUCGAAUGGUCAGAGAGGACCUGGCUGAAAAUUUCAUCAACUCAGUGGACCAUGAUGAUGUAUGUGAUGUAUGUCAGCUAGGAAAGCAGGCCAGACUCCCAUUUCCCUCGAAUCAAGCCUGGAGAGCCUCUGAAAAACUCCAACUGGUGCAUACUGAUGUGUGUGGCCCUAUGAAGACUGAGUCAUUAAGUGGAAACAGGUAUUUCAUACUGUUCAUUGAUGAUUUCUCGAGAUAUUGCUGGAUUUACUUUUUAAAACAGAAAUCAGAAGUGGCCUCAGUGUUUUGGAAGUUCAAGACUGCUUCUGAGACUGAAACAGGCUGCAAGCUGAAGACCAUAAGGUCUGAUAAUGGGACUGAGUACACCUCAGCUCAGUUCCAAGCCUUCUGUGAUAAGGCAGGCAUCAAACAUCAACUUACCAACACAUAUACACCUCAGCAGAAUGGGGUAAGUGAAAGGAAGAAUAGGAGUUUGAUGGAUAUGGCCAGGUGCUUGAUGAUUCAGAAGAAUCUGCCUAAAGCACUAUGGGCAGAAGCAGUUAACACUGCAACAUACAUUCAAAAUAGACUUCCAACCAAGGCUUUGGAUCAAAAGACCCCAUUCGAGGCCUGGUUUAGUUUCAAGCCAUCACUGGCUCAUCUGAAGGUCUUUGGAUGCAUCUGUUAUGCACAUGUACCUGCUGUUAAAAGGGACAAAUUGUCUGAAAGGGCUCGACCUGGUGUUUUGGUGGGGUAUAGCACUGUUAAGAAGGGCUAUAGGAUUUUAGAUCCUUCAACAAACAAAGUGUCAAUAAGCAGGGAUGUGGUAUUUGAUGAGAGGUCAUGUUGGAACUGGGAAAGACAUGAACCUGAAGAAGUUUCUGAAGAACUUGCAGUAGACCAAGCUGAGCCAGACCAAAAUGUCCCUGAAAUGGAUAUAGAUGAUGAACCAGUCAGAGGAACAAGGUCAUUGACUGAGGUUUAUGAAAGGGCUCAUGUAGCCAUAACUGAGCCAAGCAACUUUGAAGAGGCUGAGGCUCAACAAGGGUGGAAGCAGGCAAUGGCUGAGGAGAUCAGCAUGAUUGAGAAGAACCAGACCUGGAAAUUGGUUGAAAGGCCAGUCAAAAGGAAGGUGAUUGGGGUGAAAUGGGUGUACAAAGCCAAGCAGAAUGCUGAUGGUACCUUGAACAAGUUAAAAGCAAGGCUAGUGGUCAAGGGGUUCAGUCAAAGGUAUGGCUUGGACUAUUUGGAGACCUUUGCACCAGUGGCCAGGCUCGACACCAUCAGACUGCUGAUUGCCUUAGCUGCACAGCUCGAAUGGAAGAUUCAUCAACUUGAUGUGAAAUCAGCCUUUCUGAAUGGUUUCUUAGAUGAAGACAUCUAUGUUGAACAACCACAAGGGUUUGAAAUAGCUGGCAGAGAGCAUAUGGUCUACAAAUUGAAGAAGGCCCUAUAUGGCUUAAAACAGGCUCCAAGGGCCUGGUACAGCAGAAUCGAUGGCUACUUGACUGAUCUGGGAUUCAAUCGAAGCAAGAGUGAGCCAACACUAUAUGUCAAGAAGCAAGGGACACAAACACAACUCAUUGUGUCCCUAUAUGUUGAUGACCUGCUGGUGACAGGAGGAGAUCAAGCAGUGCUGGUUAAUUUCAAGACCAAGAUGCAAGAAGUGUUUGAAAUGUCUGAUCUUGGGGAGAUGUCCUAUUUUCUUGGAAUGGAGGUGACUCAAGCACAGAAUGGGAUAUUUUUAAGUCAGAAGAGCUUUGCCACAAAGAUUCUGACCAAGUUCUCCAUGCAAAACAGCAAACCAACUAAAACACCUGUUGCUGUUGGAGAAAAACUAUCGAGCCAAGGAGAUUUUGAGAAGGUAUGUGAAACUACCUACAGGAGUCUAGUUGGUUGUUUGCUAUACUUGACUGCCACUAGACCAGACAUAAUGUAUGCUGUAGGAUUGCUCUCAAGGUUCUUGCAUUGUUGCAAUGAGAAGCAUUUCCAGGCUGCCAAGAGAGUGCUCAGAUAUGUCAAAGGCACUUUGGACUAUGGCUUAAGGUACAGCAGGAAAGGAAAUCUAAAUCUAGUUGGGUACACUGAUAGUGACUGGGCUGGAUCAAUAGAUGACAUGAAAAGCACCUCAGGGUAUGCUUUUAACCUUGGUUCAGCCAUGUUCUGCUGGAGCUCUAAGAAGCAAAGUCUGGUGGCACAAUCUACUGCUGAAGCAGAGUAUGUGGCAGCAGCAAGUGCUGUCAACCAAGCCAUUUGGCUUAGGAAAAUCCUGGCUGAUUUGAAUAUGGAUCAAAUGAAAGCAACAGAGAUCUUCUGUGACAAUCAAUCUGCAGUUGCAAUUGCUAAAAAUCCAGUGUUCCAUGGUAGAACAAAACAUUUCAGCAUCAAGUUACAUGUUGUUCGAGAAAUGGAGCAAGCUCAGGAAAUAAAGCUGAUCCACUGUAAUUCAGAGGAUCAACUUGCUGACAUUUUAACCAAAGCUCUUAGUGUCACAAGGUUUGAAUAUCUAAGAAAGAUGCUAGGUGUUUGCUCCAUGCAAACCAAGGAGGAGUGAUGAAGUUGGUACAGCAUGCAGCAAACUCAACAGCAUGCAGGCCAUCAAGACCAAGUCAUGCAGGAGCUGCUGGAACGAGCUGAACUAUUCCUAUUUUGUUCAACUUGUAAUCUUAAGUUAAUGUAAUGUACUUUAGUUCAUUUAGAACUAUGUUAGGUUUAUGAUUGAUGUAUUUUGAUGACAAUUAAGCUAUUAAGUCAGCUUUGUUUAAGUGUGCAAGCUUAGUUUUUCAAGUUUCAAUGUAUUAGUGGUAGUAGGUGAUGAUUAGGUAUCAUUAUGCAGAUUUUG